AACCUGCCCAAGAGAUCGGGAUAACACCUGGAAACAGAUGCUAAUACCGGAUAACAACAGAUGAUGCCUAUCAACUGUUUAAAAGAUGGUUCUGCUAUCACUCUUGGAUGGACCUGCGGUGCAUUAGCUAGUUGGUAGGGUAACGGCCUACCAAGGCGAUGAUGCAUAGCCGAGUUGAGAGACUGAUCGGCCACAUUGGGACUGAGGCACGGCCCAAACUCCUACGGGAGGCAGCAGCC
rnacentral:rRNA from 1 species